UUUCUAUGAUAUAAUACUGGAGCAGGCAAGUUUUAAGGACGGUGGCCGAUUCCUGACUGGAGGUGGUUCAUAUGGACUUCACCAUUAUGAAAGGAUUAUCGGCACAUGAGCGCUUACCAAGCACUUAUGUUAAUGUUGGCGUUUGCGACAUUUAUCAUUGCAUUGCUGACU
rnacentral:sRNA from 1 species